rnacentral:rRNA from 1 species
CGCGGCCUAUCAGCUUGUUGGUGAGGUAACGGCUCACCAAGGCGACGACGGGUAGCCGGCCUGAGAGGGUGACCGGCCACACUGGGACUGAGACACGGCCCAGACUCCUACGGGAGGCAGCAGUGGGGAAUCUUGCGCAAUGGGCGAAAGCCUGACGCAGCAACGCCGCGUGAGGGAGGACGGCCUUCGGGUUGUAAACCUCUUUCGACACCGACGAAGGCCCUCACGUGUGGGGGUGGACGGUAGGUGUGGAAGAAGCACCGGCUAACUACGUGCCAGCAGCCGCGGUAAUACGUAGGGUGCGAGCGUUGUCCGGAUUUAUUGGGCGUAAAGAGCUCGUAGGCGGUUUGUCGCGUCGGCCGUGAAAACCUGCCGCUUAACGGUGGGCGUGCGGUCGAUACGGGCAGACUUGAGUUCGGUAGGGGAGACUGGAAUUCCUGGUGUAGCGGUGAAAUGCGCAGAUAUCAGGAGGAACACCGGUGGCGAAGGCGGGUCUCUGGGCCGAUACUGACGCUGAGGAGCGAAAGCGUGGGGAGCGAACAGGAUUAGAUACCCUGGUAGUCCACGCCGUAAACGUUGGGCGCUAGGUGUGGGGACUGUUUCCACGGUGUCCGUGCCGUAGCUAACGCAUUAAGCGCCCCGCCUGGGGAGUACGG